UUCCUACGGGGGGCAGCAGUGAGGAAUAUUGGUCAAUGGUCGGGAGAUUGAACCAGCCAAGCCGCGUGAGGGAUGAAGGUACAGAGUAUCGUAAACCUCUUUUGUCAGGGAACAAAGGCGGGGACGUGUCCCCGGAUGAGUGUACCUGAAGAAAAAGCAUCGGCUAACUCCGUGCCAGCAGCCGCGGUAAUACGGAGGAUGCGAGCGUUAUCCGGAUUUAUUGGGUUUAAAGGGUGCGCAGGCGGAGGUGCAAGUCAGCGGUCAACUUGCGGGGCUCAACCCCG
rnacentral:rRNA from 1 species